AAACACGUCUUCAGCUAGUUUUACUUAUAAAUAAAACUACUUAUCAGUAAACUAAGUAUGGCAAUUAUACUUAUACUUUUCGGUCUUGGACUUUUAAGAAUACAAUUCGGUUAUUUGGAAAAUAUAGAAUUUUUCAGGAAUAAACAUCAUUAUUUUACUAGUAAGCAGUUUACAAUUCAACUUUCUAGAAACAAAUACGAUUACUUACUCUUAGGUUAGGAACCACAGUAGGAACCAAUAUGGGUUGUAACAACGUAAAUUUUCAAACAAAUUUUUCAUUUCAAAAUAAAGUAUUUUCAUUCAAAACAAGGCAUAAACAUUCCAAGUGUCAUGUCAGAAUACAAAUCGUAUGAAUCCCAAGAUCACAAAACAUCUAUCAGUGUGUACAGAUCACGCCGGCGCCUUCCCACGGUCCUCGCUAGUACCUGAAACACAUACAUAACAACUGUAAGCAUAAAUGCUUAGUGAGUUCCCCAAAAUACAACUUACGCACAUACGCCUUUCCAGGCCCUGACCUUCCGGUCCAUGUGUCUCAGGGGACUUCCGUCCCUGCUGGGUAAACCUUCCGGUCCUACCCACGCCAACCUUACGGUCCAGAUUACACGCCUUCCGGCCCAUAACAUAAUGCCUUCCGGCCCACAUAAACAUACAUAGCACGCAUAACAAUUAUCUUAUCACAUAUAGCACAUAUAUCACAUAUCAUAUCCGACCUUCCGGUCACACAGUCAAACCCUUCCGGGUACGGUAUAGUGAGAAGACUCACCUCGUGAAUAUCGAAAGCUAGCAAAUCCCGAAGUCACUCAUGCUCGAUCCGCCGAGCUACAAUCUCCCUAUAACAUCAUACAUCUCUUAUUAACACUUUUAUCUUCUAAGUUUGACUAUCCCUAAGAAGUCAAACAUAGGUCAACUCUGGUCAACGGUCAACGGUCAACUUGACCGGACUCGGCGAGCGCUAGGGCGACUCGGCGAGUCUAGACGUCCUCACCAAUUCUCUAAGAUUCCCUUUCUACACGUCGAGUAUCCCCCCUGACUCGACGAGUUCCUCCUGGAAGAAUCGCGGGGCCACCCCGACUCAACUCGCCGAGUCUGAAGAACAACUCGGCGAGUCCCAGUUCGACUCAGACCACCUGUUAACCCUCUCUAACUCGCCCUGACUCACCGAUCCAACCCAUAACCCGGACAGGACCAUUCUAAGGCAAUCUUCAAGCUACUCGCCGAGUCUGUUCAUCGGACUCGGCGAGUCCAUGCCAUGCAACCGCUCAAACUGCUUUCUAAGGUUAGAUCUGCUCCGGCAAUUCAUAGGUCUGGCCUUCCUAGACUGGUUCAUCACGUAAAGUCCUUAUUUCGGUGCUCAUAAUACACCCCAUGACUCAUAAUUGACGUUUUGACCUAAGGCAUAAGGAUUCCAAUCCAAAACCUCCAUUGAUUCCCGAAAAGCUCAGGCAUGGGACACUCUGGACUUCCAAGGGUCCCAAUAUCGGGUUCCAAUCGCUUGGGGGACUAAGGAAACACUCAAUCUAGCCACAAAAGGGUUCAAUAAACCCUAAAUCCAUAUACACAUCAACAUGGAAGGGAUCAACUCGAAAAUAUUACCUGAAUAACGUUGCUCUGUGUCCCCAACCCUCAGAAUAUGGUUUCUCCUGUUGUUCCCUUAACCAAGCCUCCUCCUCCUUGCAAAAUAACAUUUCCAAGAUCAAUAAUGGUCUUCUACCUUGCUCCAGAUGCUCACAAUCGAAUUAGGGUUUCACUCAAAGGACUAGGGUGAACAAUGACGGCCAUAAGGCCCCUUAUAUAUGUCCUAAACCUGGGAAGUUAGGGUUUCGCUAAACAGCGCGGACUCGCCGAGUCCAGUCGCGAACCCGCGACCAGAUCCGUGAUCCUACUCGGCGAGUCUGAGAUCCAACUCGCCGAGUCCCCUCUUAAAACACCCAAAAUCAUAAAUAUAACAAUACCUGGAAUUCCGGGUUGUUACAUGGGUCACAUUUAUUUUACGAAAUCAAAGCAUUACUUUAUAUACUUUAAGCAUAAGAAACACAUAUAUUUUGGUCUUAAGGCCUAAGACUACAUUCCAUUUUAUUAAGAAAGUAUAGGACUUUCUGAAGGAACACACAAACAUUUUCAAGGAAACAAAAACG
rnacentral:lncRNA from 1 species